AACGCGAAGAACCUUACCUGGGCUUGAACCGCACAGGACCAGCUUUAGAAAUAGAGCCUUCCCGCAAGGGACCUGUGUAGAGGUGCUGCAUGGCUGUCGUCAGCUCGUGCCGUGAGAUGUUGGGUUAAGUCCCGCAACGAGCGCAACCCUCGCCUUUAGUUGCCAUCAGGUUGGGCUGGGCACUCUAAAGGAACUGCCGGUGACAAGCCGGAGGAAGGUGGGGAUGACGUCAAGUCCUCAUGGCCCUUAUGUCCUGGGCUACACACGUGCUACAAUGGCGGUGACAAUGGGAAGCCAGUUAGUGAUAGCGAGCUGAUCCCAAAAAGCCGUCUCAGUUCAGAUUGCACUCUGCAACUCGAGUGCAUGAAGGUGGAAUCGCUAGUAAUCGCGGAUCAGCAUGCCGCGGUGAAUACGUUCCCGGGCCUUGUACACACCGGUAUA
rnacentral:rRNA from 1 species